rnacentral:rRNA from 1 species
CACGUAGGGCGCAAGCGUUGUCCGGAAUUAUUGGGCGUAAAGAGCGUGUAGGCGGCCAAGCAGGUCCGCUGUGAAAACUCGAGGCUCAACCUCGAGACGUCGGUGGAAACCGUUUGGCUAGAGUCCGGAAGAGGAGAGUGGAAUUCCCGGUGUAGCGGUGAAAUGCGCAGAUAUCGGGAAGAACACCCGUGGCGAAGGCGGCUCUCUGGGACGGUACUGACGCUGAGACGCGAAAGCGUGGGGAGCGAACAGG